GGAUGAUGGUCAUGUCAUGCUGAGGAACGAAGCAUCUGUGAGGAUGGUCCUAUUUGCUUGUCCUCAGAGAUGCUUCGUUCCUCAGCAUGACAUGUUGG
rnacentral:miRNA from 1 species